UAGAACUUCUAGUUGGACCCGAGGUUGCCUUAUAAGUUUUACAAAAGAAUGUCACUUCGAGCUCUCAUCAAUAUUGGUUGAACUGUUGGUACCACAAAGUCUCUGAAAGUGGAAACACGGAGUUUGUUACAGGUCAACUAUUGGAAUAUUUUUAUGCUCGAAAUGCCACGUUCAGGUCUUAUAAGUCACCUUAGAUGAUUGGUCUGAUGAAGAAAUUGAGUCCAUGAUUAAGGUUGGUGGAAAAUUUUCUGCUAAUUCAAUAUACGAGGCUUCUAUACCUGAUGGAAUCUCAAAGCGUGGAGCAGAUUCAAGUCAUGAAUGAUGUUCCAAGUUUAUCAGAUAAUAACUGUUCACAACCAGAUAAAGGCAGCUACAUAAAGAAGAUAUACCAACAGCUAGAUUCACAACCUGAUAACAGUGGUAGUGGCGGUGGCGGUGGCGGUGGAGGAAGUAGUGGAGAAGAAGAAGAAGAAUUUGAUGGAGACGUGGAUAAGAAAAAAUAUGGUGGGUAUGUCUAUGUCUCAGAAACUGAUUCUGGGUUAUGCUGCUCUUGUUGGAGGUAAUUAGUCAGACUUUUUGUUUGAAAAGCUGAAGCUUCGCUGGGAUUUUGUUUGAUUUUUUUAGAAGAGUUAAAUUUGAUUAAAGGUUGUAGCUCUUUUGGUUUGAUCUGUUAUUCGUUGAUGGGAGUCUGACUGCGUGAUAUUGGGGAUGGAUUUUAUUAAGUUGUGUAAAUCGCUGUGAGGCAGAGUCAAUGUAUAUGUGUAGGUUUACCCUUACUCAGUUAAGGGCAUAUUGGUCUUUUAGGAUAUCCAUUUAAAAUUGCAGUUGGCACUCAACUCUUGUAAAGAAAAAAAAAACGGGAUCCAUCUGUAAACAACUUUCGAAAAUUGGACGAAUAGAUUUGCUAUUAAA